GAUGAACGCUGGCGGCGUGCUUAACACAUGCAAGUCGAACGGUAAGGCCCCAGCUUGCUGGGGUGCUCGAGUGGCGAACGGGUGAGUAACACGUAAGUGAUCUGCCCUGCACUGGGGGAUAAGCUUGGGAAACUGGGUCUAAUACCCUAUAGGACCGCAUCGUGGUUGGUGUGGUGGAAGGGUUUUUCUGGUGUGGGAUGAGCUUGCGGCCUAUCAGCUUGUUGGUGGGGUAAUGGCCUACCAAGGCGGCGACGGGUAGCCGGCCUGAGAGGGUGGGAGGCCACAUUGGGACUGAGAUACGGCCCAGACUCCUACGGGAGGCAGCAGGGGGGAAUUUUGCACAAUGGGCGGAAGCCUGAUGCAGCGACGCCGUGUGGGGGAUGAAGGCCUUCGGGUUGUAAACUCCUUUCGUCAGGGACGAAGUUUCUUUGACGCUACCUGGAUAAGAAGCACCGGCUAACUACGUGCCAGCAGCCGCCGUAA
rnacentral:rRNA from 1 species